rnacentral:misc_RNA from 1 species
GAAAUGCGAUACGUAAUGUGAAUUGCAGAAUUCAGUGAAUCAUCGAAUCUUUGAACGCAUAUUGCGCUCUUUGGUAUUCCGAAGAGCAUGCUUGUUUGAGUAUCAGUAAACACCUCAAAGACUUCAAUUUGUUUUGAAUGGCUUUGGACUUGAGCAAUCCCAACACCAGUCUUUACGAUCGGUGGAGGGUUGCUUGAAAUGCAGGUGCAGCUGGACAUUCUCCUGAGCUAAAAGCAUAUUUAUUUAGUCCCGUCAAACGGAUUAUUACUUUUGCUGCAGCUAACAUAAAGGGAGUUUGACCGUAUUGGCUGACUGAUGCAGGAUUUCACAAGGGUCGGCAACGAUUCUUGUAAAACUCGAUCUCAAAUCAAGUAAGACUACCCGCUGAACUUAA